rnacentral:rRNA from 1 species
UACGGAGGGCGCAAGCGUUGUUCGGAAUCACUGGGCGUAAAGCGCGUGUAGGCGGCCGGGCAAGUCGGAUGUGAAAUCCCGAGGCUCAACCUCGGAACUGCAUUCGAAACUGCUCGGCUCGAGUCCCGGAGAGGAUGGCGGAAUUCCCGGUGUAGGGGUGAAAUCCGUAGAGAUCGGGAGGAACACCAGUGGCGAAGGCGGCCAUCUGGACGGUGACUGACGAUGAGACGCGAAAGAGUGGGGAGCAAACAGG